CCUACGGGGGGCAGACCCAACUGAAUGGAGCCCUACGGGGGGCUGCAGUGGGGAAUCUUCCGCAAUGGGCGAAAGCCUGACGGAGCAACGCCGCGUGAACGAUGAAGGUCUUAGGAUCGUAAAGUUCUGUUGUUAGGGACGAAGGGUAAGAAUCAUAAUAAGGUUUUUAUUUGACGGUACCUAACGAGGAAGCCACGGCUAACUACGUGCCAGCAGCCGCGGUAAUACGUAGGCGGCAAGCGUUGUCCGGAAUUAUUGGGCGUAAAGGGAGCGCAGGCGGGAAACUAAGCGGAUCUUAAAAGUGCGGGGCUCAACCCCGUGAUGGGGUCC
rnacentral:rRNA from 1 species